AGGCUGGAGGAGGAAAUGACUGUGGGCUAGUGGUCAGAGAGAGCCACAAGAAGGAGAGGGAUUCACAAGAUCAAGCAGGAGAAUGAGAUUGACGUGGUGUGCAGAAUGAGGUGGGAGGCAUCUUACACAAGUAGGCGAAGCACGUACAGAUCGAAACUGCAAGGAACUGGAUAAAGAAACCAGAAGGGUGUAGACCACAGCGUGGCUUGAUUUGUUUGAGGAUUCUUGAUGACAUGUUUGGGGGAGACAAAAAAAGAAGACUAAGAAGCCCAACACACCCUUAGGAAUCUGGAAACACCGUUGAAAGGUGGAGGUUGGAGCUUAGACUGGCAAGAAUGAAGAUGGGCUUGCUGACCUUUUGCUGACGAGCAUUUAGUAUGAAGAAACUGUGUUUCUCCCUGGUUGAAGCCGAUACAAAAUGCCGCUAUUCUGAAAUUGAAGAAAUCAUGUCUAAGACAUCAAUAGCAGUGCUGGGAAGAUGAGACAAUACUGAGUCUGAAGCCACAUCUCAAAAUCCAAUUUCAAACCAAUGUUAUCUGAUAAUGGUGCCCAGACGCAUCUCUCCAAAAAAGGACUUUCAACAGGAAGUAUCAGUGUUAAUGCAUAGAUUGAACUUGAAAUGUCUAAGUCAGAUAGAAUUCAUUUCUUUAAAAGGGUGUUUAAAACUGAGCGUGUUUAUCUAGUGUCUAUGAAGUACCAGAAAAAAUCCAAAAGCAAUCCA